AAAAAUCGCAUAAAACACUCUCAAAGUGUCACUUACUAUCACUUUAAACCUUAAUUUUUUUUUUCACAAACACUUUUAAUCUUCAAACUGUAUUUGUAUUAUAAAAAAAUGACCAAUAGUACAGGUAAAAGGAUGAUGUGUCAAUUUUUUCAAUUAUUUAAUUAAUAAAAUAAACAAAAAAUUAAAUAAAAUUCAGAUUUUUUUAAAAAAAUUGUUAAUUUAAAUAAAAUUUAAUAAACAUUCAGAUUAUUUUUAAAGUUCAGAAAAUAAAAUAAAUAUUAAUAAAAUUUAAAAAAAUAGCUAAAAAGAAAAGAAAAAAAUUAAUAAGACCAAAUUAAAAUCCAGGAAAAAAAUUGAAAAUUGAAAAUUGAAAAUUGAAAAUUGAAAAGUUCAAAAUAGUUUUUUUUUUGUCAUUUUCAACGAUGAUGUCGGAAACUAUAAUUAGAGAUAUGCCAAAAACGUCACUGUUAAUGCUUAAGUAAAAAACCACCAUUAAUUGUUAUAAGUUAUAUCUGAAAUUGUUAUUGUAAACAAUGAUAUGAUAUUUUUUUAAAAAAAAUAGUGUAAUUUAUAAUAAAAAUAUUUUGAUUUUUGAAGGUUAAACGUGUUUUUGAGGGUUUUUUAUAAGAUUCUCUCUAUUCAUAUAUCUCUUACCUAAAAGAUAAAGAGAAAAAGACCAAAAUAGCACUAAAUCAAGUUUUU
rnacentral:lncRNA from 1 species